CAGUCGUACCUGCGGACAAUCAGCUUUUUGAGUGUGAUUAUGUGGAUUGUGGGGAGUUUAAUCUCCCUCAUGUUUUACGUAUUCGUGCUCUUGGGUGUACUUGCCCGUGUGGUAGGUUAACAUCAAUUUUGGCGUCAAUAAAAUGACUGGAGGAAUGUAGCUUUGGUCUCGUAUCGAAGUGUUAUAGACUC
rnacentral:rRNA from 1 species